UGCCGCGUGUGUGAAGAAGGCUUUCGGGUUGUAAAGCACUUUCAGUGGGGAAGAAGGCUUGUCGGCCAAUACCCGGCAAGAGCGACAUCACCCACAGAAGAAGCACCGGCUAACUCCGUGCCAGCAGCCGCGGUAAUACGGAGGGUGCAAGCGUUAAUCGGAAUUACUGGGCGUAAAGCGCGCGUAGGCGGCUUGUCACGCCGGGUGUGAAAGCCCCGGGCUCAACCUGGGAACGGCAUCCGGAACGGGCAGGCUAGAGUGCAGGAGAGGAAGGUAGAAUUCCCGGUGUAGCGGUGAAAUGCGUAGAGAUCGGGAGGAAUACCAGUGGCGAAGGCGGCCUUCUGGACUGACACUGACGCUGAGGUGCGAAAGCGUGGGUAGCAAACAGGAUUAGAUACCCUGGUAGUCCACGCCGUAAACGAUGUCGACUAGCCGUUGGGUCCCUUGAGGACUUAGUGGCGCAGUUAACGCGAUAAGUCGACCGCCUGGGGAGUACGGCCGCAAGGUUAAAACUCAAAUGAAUUGACGGGGGCCCGCACA
rnacentral:rRNA from 1 species